AAUAUUGGUCAAUGGUCGAAAGCCUGAUCCAGCCAUGCCGCGUGUGUGAAGAAUGUCUUCGGAUUGUAAAUCACUUUAUGUUGGGAGGAAGGGUUGUAGGUUAAUACCCUGCAAUUUUGACGUUACCAACAGAUUAAGUACCGGAUAACUUCGUGCCAGCAGCCGCGGUAAUACGAAUGGUGCAAGCGUUAAUCGGAAUUACUGGGCGUAAAGCGCGCGUAGGUGGUUCGGUAAGUUGGAAGUGGAAGCCCCGGGCUUAACCUGGGAAUUGCUUUCAAAACUGACGAGCUAGAGUACGGUAGAGAGUAGUGGAAUUUCCUGUGUAGCGGUGAAAUGCGUAGAUAUAGGAAGGAACACCAGUGGCGAAGGCGACCACCUGGGCUAAUACUGACACUGAGGUGCGAAAGCGUGGGGAGCAAACAGG
rnacentral:rRNA from 1 species